GGCGGCGUAGUCAAGUGGUAUGUUGCUUGACUACUGAUCAAAAAGUCAUUGGUUCAAGCCCUUGAUGGGGCCU